AACGAACGCUGGCGGCAGGCCUAACACAUGCAAGUCGAGCGAGGACUUCGGUUCUAGCGGCGGACGGGGGAGUAACGCGUGGGAAUGUGCCCUUCUCUACGGAAUAGCCCUGGGAAACUGGGAGUAAUACCGUAUACGCCCUAUUGGGGAAAGAUUUAUCGGAGAAGGAUCAGCCCGCGUUGGAUUAGGUAGUUGGUGGGGUAAUGGCCUACCAAGCCGACGAUCCAUAGCUGGUUUGAGAGGAUGAUCAGCCACACUGGGACUGAGACACGGCCCAGACUCCUACGGGAGGCAGCAGUGGGGAAUCUUAGACAAUCGGGGCAACCCUGAUCUAGCCCUGCCGCGUGAGUGAUGAAGGCCUUAGGGUUGAAAAGCUCUUUCAGCUGGGAAGAUAAUGACGGUACCAGCAGAAGAAGCCCCGGCUAACUCCGUG
rnacentral:rRNA from 1 species